rnacentral:rRNA from 1 species
UACGUAGGUGGCGAUCGUUGUCCGGAUUUACUGGGCGUAAAGGGAGCGUAGGCGGACUUUUAAGUGAGAUGUGAAAUACCCGGGCUCAACUUUGGUGCUGCAUUUCAAACUGGAAGUCUAGAGUGCAGGAGAGGAGAAUGGAAUUCCUAGUGUAGCGGUGAAAUGCGUAGAGAUUAGGAAGAACACCAGUGGCGAAGGCGAUUCUCUGGACUGUAACUGACGCUGAGGCUCGAAAGCGUGGGGAGCAAACAGGAUUAGAUACCCU